AGAGUUUGAUCUUGGCUCAGGAUGAACGCUGGCGGCGUGCCUAAUACAUGCAAGUCGAACGAGGAGCCCAUGAAUUUAUUCAAGGGAUUUCCUAGUGGCGAACGGGUGAGUAACGCGUUGGUGAUCUGCCCCGAAGCGGGGGAUAACAUUCCGAAAGGGAUGCUAAUACCCCAUGUGAUCUACCCCCUUAGAAAGGGUAGAUUAAAGGCGCUCUGCGUCACUUCGGGAGGAGCCUGCGUCCCAUCAGCUAGUUGGUAGGGUAAUGGCCUACCAAGGCGAUGACGGGUAGGGGGCCUGAGAGGGUGAUCCCCCACAAUGGAACUGAAACACGGUCCAUACAUCUACGGAUGGCAGCAGUAGGGAAUAUUGCAUAAUGGGCGAAAGCCUGAUGCAGCAACGCCGCGUGUGCGAUGAAGGCUCUCGGGUCGUAAAGCACUUUUUGGGGGGAUGAGGAAGGACAGUACCCCCAGAAUAAGCCUCGGCUAACUACGUGCCAGCAGCCGCGGUAAAACGUAGGAGGCAAGCGUUAUCCGGAUUUACUGGGCGUAAAGCGCGUGUAGGCGGUACGGUAAGUUGGAUGUGAAAGCUCCCGGCUCAACUGGGAGAGGUCGUUCAAUACUGCCGAACUAGAGGAUGGGAGAGGGAGGUGGAAUUCCGGGUGUAGUGGUGAAAUGCGUAGAUAUCCGGAGGAACACCAGUGGCGAAGGCGGCCUCCUGGCCCAUUUCUGACGCUCAGACGCGAAAGCUAGGGUAGCAAACGGGAUUAGAGACCCCGGUAGUCCUAGCCGUAAACGAUGUAGACUUGGUGUCGGUGGUGUAAAAAUCAUCGGUGUCGAAGCAAACGCGAUAAGUCUACCGCCUGGGGACUACGGCCGCAAGGCUAAAACUCAAAAGAAUUGACGGGGACCCGCACAAGCAGCGGAGCGUGUGGUUUAAUUCGAUUCUACGCGAAAAACCUUACCAGGGUUUGACAUGCUAGUGGUAGUGAACUGAAAAGGGAACGACCCUUCGGGGAGCUAGCACAGGUGCUGCAUGGCUGUCGUCAGCUCGUGUCGUGAGAUGUUCGGUUAAGUCCGCUAACGAGCGCAACCCUUGCUGUGUGUUAUACGUGUCACACGGGACUGCCGGUGUCAAGCCGGAGGAAGGUGGGGAUGACGUCAAGUCAGCAUGGCCUUUAUGUCCUGGGCUACACACACGCUACAAUGGGCAGUACAAUUGGUCGCGAAACCGCGAGGUGGAGCCAAUCCGUAAAGCUGUCCUCAGUUCAGAUUGCAGGCUGCAACUCGCCUGCAUGAAGGUGGAGUUGCUAGUAACCGCAGGUCAGCAUUACUGCGGUGAAUACGUUCCCGGGUCUUGUACACACCGCCCGUCACGUCAUGGAAGCUGGUAACGCCUGAAGCCGGUAUCCUAACCUGCAAAGGAGGGAGCCGUCAAAGGCGGGAUUGGUGACUGGGACGAAGUCGUAACAAGGUA
rnacentral:rRNA from 1 species